UACGAAGGGGGCUAGCGUUGUUCGGAAUCACUGGGCGUAAAGCGCACGUAGGCGGAUCUUUAAGUCAGGGGUGAAAUCCCGAGGCUCAACCUCGGGAACUGCCUUUGAUACUGGGGAUCUCGAGUCCGGGAGAGGUGAGUGGAACUGCGAGUGUAGAGGUGAAAUUCGUAGAUAUUCGCAAGAACACCAGUGGCGAAGGCGGCUCACUGGCCCGGUACUGACGCUGAGGUGCGAAAGCGUGGGGAGCAAACAGG
rnacentral:rRNA from 1 species